rnacentral:rRNA from 1 species
AGCGAACGCUGGCGGCAGGCCUAACACAUGCAAGUCGAACGGAUCCUUCGGGAUUAGUGGCGGACGGGUGAGUAACACGUGGGAACGUGCCUUUUGGUUCGGAACAACCCAGGGAAACUUGAGCUAAUACCGGAUAAGCCCUUCGGGGGAAAGAUUUAUCGCCAUUAGAGCGGCCCGCGUAGGAUUAGCUAGUUGGUGGGGUAAAGGCCCACCAAGGCUACGAUCCUUAGCUGGUCUGAGAGGAUGAUCAGCCACAUUGGGACUGAGACACGGCCCAAACUCCUACGGGAGGCAGCAGUGGGGAAUCUUGCGCAAUGGGCGAAAGCCUGACGCAGCCAUGCCGCGUGAAUGAUGAAGGUCUUAGGAUUGUAAAAUUCUUUCACCGGGGACGAUAAUGACGGUACCCGGAGAAGAAGCCCCGGCUAACUUCGUGCCAGCCGCCGCGGUAA